rnacentral:rRNA from 1 species
GAUGAACGCUAGCGGCAGGCUUAACACAUGCAAGUCGAGGGGCAUCGAGAGUAGCAAUACUUGUCGGCGACCGGCGCAAGGGUGCGUAACACGUGAGCAACAUACCCGUUUCAGGAGGAUAACCGGAGGAAACUCUGCCUAAUACUCCAUGACAUCAUCAAACGGCAUCGUUUAAUGAUUAAAGAUUCAUCGGAAACGGCUUGGCUCGCGGGACAUUAGCUUGUUGGUGAGGUAACGGCUCACCAAGGCCACGAUGUCUAGGGGUUCUGAGAGGAAGGUCCCCCACACUGGAACUGAGACACGGUCCAGACUCCUACGGGAGGCAGCAGUGAGGAAUAUUGGACAAUGGUCGGAAGACUGAUCCAGCCAUGCCGCGUGAAGGUUACUGUCCUAUGGAUAUUAAACUUCUUUUGAUGAGAGCAAUAAGGUGCACGUGUGCACCGAUGAGAGUAUCAUACGAAUAAGCAUCGGCUAAC